GGCUCGGUGGCGGGUGCUCCGCGUCUGCAACUUGUAGAGCGAUAAUCUGUUGCUGCAGGAGGUGCUCGUUCGACUCGAGCCCGAGCCA